UUCUUAUCCAGAGAGGCGGAGGGACAGGCCCGAUGAAGCCCGGCAACCGAUCGUGCGAGCCCGGACAUGCAUUACUGCAAUGCAUGCUUGCACGGUGACUAUGGUGCUAAUUCCUUCAAGACACGUAUGUGUCUUGGCAGAUGAGAA
rnacentral:ncRNA from 2 species